CCUACGGGUGGCAGCAGUGGGGAAUAUUGGACAAUGGGCGAAAGCCUGAUCCAGCCAUGCCGCGUGUGUGAAGAAGGCCUUCGGGUUGUAAAGCACUUUCAGUGGGGAAGAAAGCCUUGGGGCUAAUACCCUCGAGGAAGGACAUCACCCACAGAAGAAGCACCGGCUAACUCCGUGCCAGCAGCCGCGGUAAUACGGAGGGUGCGAGCGUUAAUCGGAAUUACUGGGCGUAAAGCGCGCGUAGGCGGUCUGAUAAGCCGGUUGUGAAAGCCCCGGGCUCAACCUGGGAACGGCAUCCGGAACUGUCAGGCUAGAGUGCAGGAGAGGAAGGUAGAAUUCCCGGUGUAGCGGUGAAAUGCGUAGAGAUCGGGAGGAAUACCAGUGGCGAAGGCGGCCUUCUGGACAGACACUGACGCUGAGGUGCGAAAGCGUGGGUAGCAAACAGGAUUAGAUACCCUGGUAGUC
rnacentral:rRNA from 1 species